rfam:Trichobilharzia regenti genome assembly, scaffold: TRE_contig0036428
AUCCAGGUGACGACGAGUGCCAAAUAGGACGAAAUGCGCAUCCUGGCUGGAU